AAUGAUGAUGUCACUGAGAGAUGCCAUGGCCUACCUGCUAAACAGCUUUCCUUACAUUGAACAGAUUUGACCAUGCCUUUUCCAGACAUCAGUAAAGCAAAGGACCACAUGGAGUAUCGAAUUUGUUCUCUUGACCUUUUUGAUAUCAGUACUACAGUAUCAACCUUCCAGUGUCCCAGAUAACAGGGCCAGACAAAAACUGCACUAAAUGAAUGCAAAUCAUGGAGGAGUUUACUCUGAGCUGAAGACACAAU